GAUGAACGCUGGCGGCGUGCUUAACACAUGCAAGUCGAACGGAAAGGCCUCUGCUUGCAGGGGUACUCGAGUGGCGAACGGGUGAGUAACACGUGGGUGAUCUGCCCUGCACUUCGGGAUAAGCCUGGGAAACUGGGUCUAAUACCGGAUAGGACAAUGGUUUGGAUGCUGUUGUGGAAAGUUUUUCGGUGUGGGAUGAGCUCGCGGCCUAUCAGCUUGUUGGUGGGGUAAUGGCCUACCAAGGCGUCGACGGGUAGCCGGCCUGAGAGGGUGUACGGCCACAUUGGGACUGAGAUACAGCCCAGACUCCUACGGGAGGCAGCAGUGGGGAAUAUUGCACAAUGGGGGCAAGCCUGAUGCAGCGACGCCGCGUGGGGGAUGACGGCCUUCGGGUUGUAGACUCCUUUCGCUAGGGACGAAGCGUUUUUGUGACGGUACCUGGAGAAGAAGCACCGGCUAACUACGUG
rnacentral:rRNA from 1 species